rnacentral:rRNA from 1 species
UACGUAGGGAGCAAGCGUUGUCCGGAAUUACUGGGCGUAAAGGGUGCGUAGGCGGUAACUUAAGUCAGAUGUGAAAUGUCGGGGCUCAACUCCGGAGCUGCAUCUGAUACUGAGUAACUUGAGUACAGGAGAGGAAAGUGGAAUUCCUAGUGUAGCGGUGGAAUGCGUAGAUAUUAGGAGGAACACCAGUGGCGAAGGCGACUUUCUGGACUGUAACUGACGCUGAGGCACGAAAGUGUGGGGAGCAAAC